rnacentral:rRNA from 1 species
CCUACGGGAGGCAGCAGUGGGGAAUAUUGCACAAUGGGCGCAAGCCUGAUGCAGCCAUGCUGCGUGUAUGAAGAAGGCCUUCGGGUUGUAAAGUACUUUCAGCGGGGAGGAAGGCGAUAAGGUUAAUAACCUUGUCGAUUGACGUUACCCGCAGAAGAAGCACCGGCUAACUCCGUGCCAGCAGCCGCGGUAAU